UGGGGAAUAUUGCACAAUGGGGGAAACCCUGAUGCAGCGACGCCGCGUGGAGGAUGACGGCCUUCGGGUUGUAAACUCCUUUUGUCAGGGACAAUGGUGAUGGUACCUGACGAAUAAGCCACGGCUAACUCUGUGCCAGCAGCCGCGGUAAGACAGAGGUGGCGAGCGUUGUUCGGAAUUACUGGGCUUAAAGGGCGCGUAGGCGGUGGUGUAAGUCUGGGGUGGAAUGCUACAGCUCAACUGUAGAGCUGCCUUGGAAACUGCAUUACUUGAGUCGGUGAGGGGAAGGCGGAAUUCCUGGUGUAGCGGUGAAAUGCGUAGAUAUCAGGAGGAAGGUCUGUGGCGAAGGCGGCCUUCUGGCACUUGACUGACGCUGAGGCGCGAAAGCGUGGGGAGCAAACA
rnacentral:rRNA from 1 species